GGAAUAUUGGACAAUGGGCGCAAGCCUGAUCCAGCCAUGCCGCGUGUGUGAAGAAGGUCUUCGGAUUGUAAAGCACUUUAAGUUGGGAGGAAGGGUUGUACGCUAAUACCGUGCAAUUUUGACGUUACUGACAGAAUAAGCACCGGCGAACUCUGUGCACGCAGCCGCGGUAAUACAGAGGGUGCAAGCGUUAAUCGGAAUUACUGGGCGUAAAGCGCGCGUAGGUGGUUUGUUAAGUUGGAUGUGAAAGCCCCGGGCUCAACCUGGGAACUGCAUCCAAAACUGGCAAGCUAGAGUACGGUAGAGGGUGGUGGAAUUUCCUGUGUAGCGGUGAAAUGCGUAGAUAUAGGAAGGAACACCAGUGGCGAAGGCGACCACCUGGACUGAUACUGACACUGAGGUGCGAAAGCGUGGGGAGCAA
rnacentral:rRNA from 1 species